rnacentral:rRNA from 1 species
AUGGCCUCACUGCUAAAGCGAUUCAGCGAUGUAGCACAGUCGCCAAAAGGGUGCCGCUACAACCCAGAGAGAUCCGGCGUCGGUAUUGUCUCAGCUAUUAUGGAACCAACCGCUACACGCCUACGCAUGGUCCGGCCUCUCAUCCACACCAACGCGCGUGAGAUCCUAGAGGUUACACUACCGAACCUCUGUUGGAGCAAUAGGAGGCCAUUCCGAGCAGCCAUACUGUCAUGCGGUCUAUGCCGCAGGUGGAUCGGUAGUGGCACCAUCUAUAUGUUCAAAGGUGAGAUGGGAUUUUGUAAACAGGAGUGUCUCUUCGACUAUAUCGUGGAGCAAUUGGAAAAAGAGACACAGAGGGUGAGAUGGUGUGGAAGAGAAAAGGUGCCAACAAUGGAGGACAAGGAAGGCGACCAGAGCUGCAUUUUCUUCACCCGCGCUGGCAGCCUAUGA